rnacentral:rRNA from 1 species
GUUUGAUCCUGGCUCAGAAUUAACGCUGAUGGCAUACCUAAUACAUGCAAGUCGAGCGGACCUCUAGCAAUAGAGGUUAGCGGCGAACGGGUGAGUAAUGAAUACUUAACAUACCUCCAUGAAGGAAAUAGCUAUUCGAAAGAGUAAUUAAUGUCCUAUAGGAGCCAGCCCCACAUGAGGUUGGCUUUAAAGGCGCAAGCCACUUGGAGAUUGGAGUAUUUUCUAUUAGCUAGUUGGCGGGAUAAUAGCCCACCAAGGCAGUGAUAGAUAGCUGGUCUAAGAGGAUGAACAGCCACAAUGGGAUUGAGAUACGGCCCAUAUUCCUACGGGAAGCAGCAGUAGGGAAUCUUCCACAAUGGGCGAAAGCCUGAUGGAGUGAUGCCAUGUGAAUGAUGAAGGUCUUUUUGAUUGUAAAGUUCUUUUAUUGGGGAAAAUGAUGAUGGUACCCAGUGAAUAAGUGACAGCAAACUAUGUGCCAGCAGCUGCGGUAAUACAUAGGUCGCGAGCGUUAUUCGGAUUUAUUGGGCGUAAAGCGAGCGCAGGCGGAUUGGUAAGUUCUGUGUUAAAUGCAGCCGCUCAACGGUUGUAUGCGCAGAAUACUGCUUUUCUAGAAUACGGUAGAAAGUUUUGGAAUUGAAUGUGGAGCGGUGGAAUGUGUAGAUAUAUUCAAGAACACCAGAGGCGAAGGCGAAAACUUAGGCCGAUAUUGACGCUUAGGCUCGAAAGUGUGGGGAGCAAAUGGGAUUAGAUACCCCAGUAGUCCACACCGUAAACGAUGGAUAUUAGAUGUUGGGACUUGAGUCUCAGCGUUGUAGCUUACGUGUUAAAUAUCCCGCCUGAGUAGUACAUAUGCAAAUAUGAAACUCAAAGGAAUUGACGGGGACCUGAACAAGUGGUGGAACAUGUUGCUUAAUUCGACAAUACACGAAAAACCUUACCAAGAUUUGACAUCCCCUGCAAAGCUUUAGAAAUAAAGUGGAGGUUAUCAGGGUGACAGGUGGUGCAUGGCUGUCGUCAGCUCGUGUCAUGAGAUGUCUGGUUAAGUCCUGAAACGAGCGCAACCCUACUCUUUAGUUAACUUUCUAAAGAGACUGAACAGUAAUGUAUAGGAAGGAUGGGAUCACGUCAAGUCAUCAUGCCCCUUAUAUCUUGGGCCGCAAACGUGUUACAAUGGUGGGUACAACGUGUCGCAAGCCAGCGAUGGCAAGCUAAUCACUAAAAGCUCAUCUCAGUCCGGAUAAAAGGCUGCAAUUCGCCUUUUUGAAGUUGGAAUCACUAGUAAUCCCGUGUCAGCUAUAUCGGGGUGAAUACGUUCCCAGGUCUUGUACACACCGCCCGUCAAACUAUGAGAGGGAGAGGCAUUCGAAAACGUAUUCAUUUGCGUCUAGAAUGAAUUUCCUGAUUGGAGUUAAGUCGUAACAAGGUACCCGUACGAGAACGUGCGGGUGGAUAAUCUUUUUGUAUUCCGUCUUUUACUAGACGGAAGUGCAUAUAAACAGAGUGAGGUUUUACUUAAUGAUGGACAACGUAGAAUAGGAGGUUUGUCCUAUAAACAUUAAGGCGGAUGGCUUUCAGCUUUGAGAGAACUAUUCUCUCUUGGGUUGUUUUUUGAAAAGGCAAAAGAUAAUAACCGAGUUAACUUAAAUAAAGUUGAAUUCAUACGUUGAAUAAGUUAAGAGCUAGAGGUGGAUUUCUUGGAAAUGGAAGGCGAUGAAGGACGUGCCAAUCUGCGAUAAGCCAGGGGGAGCUGAUAAGAAGCCUCGAUCCCUGGAUCUCCGAAUGUAGAAAUACGAUUUACCUCCGGUAUAUCAUUUUGGAGUGAAUACAUAGCUCCAAAAGGCGAACCUCGUGAAGUGAAACAUCUCAGUAACGAGAGGAAAAGAAAACGAAGCGAUUCCCUAAGUAGUGGUGAGCGAAAGGGGAUUAGGACAAACCAGAGCUUGCUCUGGGGUUGUAGGACUUCAACGUGGACUCUGGGGAUAUAGAAGAAAUCUUUGGAACAAGAUGGCAUAGAGGGCGACCCCCCCGUAUUCGAAAUAUCCCUAGUACCUAGAAGUAUCCUGAGUAGGGCGGGACACGUGUAAUCCUGUCUGAAUCUGCCCAGACCAUUGGGUAAUCCUAAAUACUAACCAUUUACCGAUAGUGA